AUGGGUGAUCCGUCGGCGGUCCACCUUCCCGACCUCGUGCUCGCGGAGAUCUUCGUGCGGCUGCCGUCCAAGGACUUCCACCGGUGCCGCUGCCUCUCCCGCGCCUGGGCAGCCGCCCUCUCCUCCGACGACCUCAUCGACCGUCACCUCUCGGUGCACGGCAAGAUCCGGCUGCACUACGACGACGUCAUGACACACCUCGUCUUCGAGUGCUCCAUUCGCCGUCGCAUAGUGACAGAGCUCGAGAGCUUGGGCGACGGCGAGACGUCUUCCGAGGAGAAAGAGAGCAGCGAGCGCGACUGUGAGGUGCCAGAAGAGAACGAGAACGGUCAGGAGACUCCCAAGGAAGACGAUAAUGAAACAGAUGAUGAUGAUGAUUUUAAUUUCGAAGAAGAGUGUUGGCGAGAGGAAUACCGGACCAAAGGCUAUGUGGAGGCAUACGAGGACUACUAUACUGCGAUGCCAUAUUGCAAUGCAUUGUGGGAAAAGGCAAAGGAGGAAAUUCUUGGGAUCAAGGCUACCGACUCCAAUGACUAUGACGAAGCCAGCGCCAUGCUCCUUAAAGCAUGCACCGUUCCAUACGGUGCUCUCCAUCCCCGCAUCCGGCAACCGUUCUUGGAAGAGGACCCUUCCAUGCACCCCUUGAGCGGCCAAGGAAAAUCAAAAGGGCAUAUUGACGCCAGGAGUAUUCGUGGCCGCGAGAGGACGGAAGAGGAGGUCGACCAAGAAAUCAUUGCUUUUCUCAGGAGAUUACGUGAUAUGGACCCACAAGCACCACUUUUGAGGGAGUUUGAUACCUACCAGUUGCCACCCAUACCUCCGCAAGGGCAAGACGGGGUGGUUUCUUUUGAGGAAGGGGUUGUGCAAGAAGAUGGCUCCGACUACUCGGAUAAUGGGGAUGUUUGCCAGCACUCUGUCGUCGACGACUCUUAG
rnacentral:rRNA from 1 species